GCUAAGAAUCUUCCGCAAUGGGGGAAACCCUGACGGAGCGACGCCGCGUGGACGAAGAAGGCCGCAAGGUUGUAAAGUCCUUUUGCAGGCGAAGAAUAAGCAGGGGAGUGGAACGCUUCUGCGAUGACGUUAGUCUGCGAAUAAGCCCCGGCCAAUUACGUGCCAGCAGCCGCGGUAACACGUAUGGGGCGAGCGUUGUUCGGAAUUACUGGGCAUAAAGGGCGUGUAGGCGGUUCGGGAAGCCUGGCGUGAAAGGCACCGGCUCAACCGGUGGAUGGCGCUGGGAACUGUCGGACUGGAGUUCUGGAGGGGGAGCUGGAAUUCCUGGUGUAGGGGUGAAAUCUGUAGAGAUCAGGAAGAACACCGGUGGCGAAGGCGAGCUCCUGGCCAGUGACUGACGCUGAGGCGCGAAAGCGUGGGGAGCAAACAGGAUUAGAUACCCCGGUAGUCC
rnacentral:rRNA from 1 species